rnacentral:snRNA from 1 species
AUACCUUUCUUGGCUUUUUAGCUAAGAUAAAGUGUAAUAUUUGUUCUUAUCAGUUCAAUAUAUGAUAUGUAUACCAGAUGUUCACUUUGAUAUUAAAUUUAUUUUUAUGGGUAUCAAAUAUUAUUGUAUGUUGUCGUAGCGAACGGGCGUUGUACUAGUACCCUAAAAAGAUCUCAU